AUUUCUCUCUGAUUUAGUCUCCACAUGUCAGCACAGCAAAGAGCUGUCGAAGAUGCAUGCUGUCUGCUGCUAGAGAGACGUCCUCGCCCAUCAAGACCGAAACACAACUGCAAGAGAGGACUGGUGUCGUCUUACUCCGAUGCAGGAAGGAUGACUCUGAGAGCAGAGCCCUGGACCUAGGUGAUGGAGUUACGGGUACAGAGCAUUGAGCCACAGAGGAUUAUUCCCAGGCCUUGAAAACUAAUGAAACUUUUCCUGCUGGAUUUUGAUAUUUCUUGUGACAGGGCAUGAAGAAAGCUGCAGGAGUCCGCUCUGAGGGACACAGACCUUCC